AAAAUGAAUCAGAGAAGGAAUGGCAAAAUGUGAUCAUAUAUAAUACAAAGUUUUGGGGAUUUUUGUGUUUUUGUUUUGUUUGUGUUUUUUGGUAUCUAAUUAAGGAAGGAAUAGUUUGUAAUGGUGAUGCAAAAAAAAGACAAAAGAAACGUUCAGGUAAAAUAUUGGGGUGGGGGGCGAGGGAAUUAGUCUGGAAAUUUCUGAUUCUCACUGAUUCCAGAUUUCUAUCCAAUACCAAACUCGGAUUAUAUUUAAUAUAUGCUUCAAUGACCAAUCUGCAAUCACUCAGAAGAGAAUGAGGUGCUAAUAACAACAACUAAUGUGAUCUAGCACCAACCUCCCAGGGUUGUUGUGAGGAUCCAAUGAAAAAAUACUUGUAAAAUGCUUAGCACAGUCCCUAUUGUUUCUGUUAUUAUUUUGUCUGCCCAAUAUAACUUUCUCUGGUAAUCACAUAUAAGAAAAGAGUAAUCAAUAUAACCAGUGUUUCCAGACCCUAAUAUUUGUACUCUCAUACAAAAGCUUUUAAUAAACUGAUUCUUGGCUUGUGAUACCUUCUCUCUACUCCAGAGUUUCUCCUAGAAACCUCAGAAUUUAGCUGUUUUACUCACAUUCAGUCUUCCCAACAAUAAUAGAACAUAGCUUAUAUAUAUUCAUCCUCAGAUGUAGACAAAUGACCCCUUAACACUCCCUUCCUAAUUUUCAGUCUUGUUACUCACUAGCUCCUUCACUAUUGACUUCAAACACACUCAGAUCUCCUUCAUGCUUAAAAAAAAAAUCUACCCAUGACUCUUCUAUUUCCUCAAUCUGUUGUCUUCCAUCUAUCUACAUUUCAUAUCCCAUUGACACCCUGAUGAUAGUACAGGAAAAAUUCUAAUCCAUGCUAUUUCUUCAGGACUAAUUUUUCACCCAAGAAAAUGGGGAAGUAUCUGAGGAUCCUUUAUCUAUAUGUCUAUAUUUCAUAUUUCAUCUUCACCUUGAAGAUAGUACAGGAAGAACUCUUAUUUCUGUGGUAUUUCUUCUGGACUACUAUUUCACCCAAGAAAAUGGGGAAGUAGCUAGAGGAUUUACUGAUACGCAGCCCUUUCUUCUAUUUACUUUGGUCUGUCACCCUUGGAUGAUAUGAUAUAAAGUUAGAUAAUAGUGAAAAAUACCCAGUCCCUUUGUGAUCAUAAACAAGUUAUAUCCUUUUUUCCCCUGAGGCAGUUGGGGUUUCAUGACUUGCCCAGGGUCACACAACUAGGAAGUGUUAAUUGUCUGAGGCCAGAUUUGAAUUCAGGGCCUCCUGACUUCAGAACUGGUGCUCUAUUUACUGAGCCACCUAUCUGCCCCCAAAAAGUUAUAUCCUUUAUGGGUUUUGAGUUCCUCUUCUGUAAAACUAACCAGCCAAUAUUUAAUGACCUUCAUUAGGCCUUCCUGCUUGGAUUCAGUAUACCGUAUGUAAGAGCUGCAGGUUUAAUUCCAACAGGAUAAUCUUUAACUUUUCUUUCUUUUAUUAAACUAAGUGAAAUAAAACACAACACACAUUUGUUUAUUAAUAGUUUUCUAACCUUCCACAAACUCAAUAAUUUUAUACAAAUUUUCUGUCUAUUUACAUAAGUCCAUGUUGCUUCCUCAAUUAGUACACAAGCUCCUUGAGGGGAGGGACUAUUUCGCUUGUCUUUAUAUAUAUUCUAUUAUACCUACAACAUAUGUGUUCUAGUGCUUAAUAAAUGUUGGCUGACAGUGAUUUUGUAAUGAUGAGAACCAUCUACACCUGGAGAGAGAAUUGUAGGAAUUGAGUGUGGAUCACAACAUAACAUUUUCACUUCUUUUGUUGUUUUUCACUUGAACUUUAUUUCUUUUCUCAUCUGUUUACUUUUUGAUCUGAUUCUUCUUGUUCAGCAAGAUAAUUGUAUAAAUACAAUGCCUAUAUUGUAUUUACACAUUUUUUUUUUUUACCAUGUUUAACAUAUAUUGAAUUAGUUGCCAUCUAGGGAAGGGGACUGGGGGAAAAGGAGGAAAUUGGAACACAAGGGUCCAUUGGGUUAGCAAGGGUAAAUGGCGAAAAAUUAUCCUUGCAUAUGUUUUGGAAAUAAAAAGCUUUAAUAAAAAAAAGAAAAAAUGUUGGCUGAUAGAUAAUCCAUAUUCUUCCUUCUUCAAGUUUUUCUAACCUGUCUUUGGACAGUAUAUUGUUCAUUUUAUCAUUUAAAGUUUUGGAUAAAAUUAUAAAUGAACCAAAUGAGUUCUUUCUAGACUACAUUAAUUUUUGUUACCACAACAUGAACUUUGGUGUUUUGGACAAUGUAGAUGUCAUUACAGUUUUGUAGUAAUAGCAGCUCAUGUUUAUAAAGUCUUACAAAACACUUUACACACAUUAUCUUUGUAGUGAGACUCUUGACUUAUCCUCCCAAAGUACAUUAGCAGAUUGGGUCCCCAGAGAAGAACUGAU
ensembl:lncRNA